rnacentral:lncRNA from 1 species
AUGGCCUCAAUGAAGAGAAAAAGAAAGACUGAGGCUGCACCAGUGACAAAAAAAAAGAAGAAACCUGGAGAAACAGGGACGCGAUCAGGAGAAGGUCAUUGUGAGGAGAAGGAGGAUGUCAAGGUUAACGAGAGCUGGCGGCUUUUCACUCUCCUCGCUGCUAUAUAUUUGCUGACUCCCGACAAAACCUGAAGCCCGGACAGUGUCAGGAGGCUGCAGACACCGCUCAGAGCAGAGAGAAGACCGGAGGGCGAGUGGAGAACAACACUGAAGGGGGACGAGUGGAGGGGGUAAUGCAGUGUUGCAUCAGUCAAAAGUGCUGCGCCAACCUGCAGCCGUGCCCUUGUGCGUCAGCACUUCCUGGGUCAAGCACCUGUCUCGUUUCACCUCUGCGCAUCCAUCCGGGGCCCUGCCUUCGAAGUCGGUGGAGGGAUGGAUGGACCAGCGAACUAACCCCAUGAAGCAGUGGGGGAGACGGCAUGGCCGAAUUUUCCCCAGGAUCCAGAACAAUCCAUAGUGAAUCUCGUACCGUCCUCUGGUCUACUUAAGGUUAUUAUUGACAGAGAGAGAGAGACAGGGGGAGAUUGAGCAGUGUUGCAGCAUUUGUUUUCACUGUCUUUCUCAGGAGUCUUUCUCACGUCACAACCUCCUCUGAGCCGCAACUGUUUUUCUUUGAUCUGAACAAACGGAUCUGGCCUAAGGUUUUUUUCGAAACUGGCUCAAAGUACUUAAAAUCAGGAUCCUGAGUGACAGCAGUCUCACCGAGCCUAUCGCCAUAGCGUCUCGAUUGAUGUUACAGUUCCCUGGUAUUGUCCCUCCUCUGUUCACGUCAGAAUGGCUCGAUUAGCUGAAUUUCCCCACUGGCAAAACAAAGCACGACAAAGGGAUGACACAACUCGAUGAGUGACUCAGAUUCUCCAGUACAGACGGUGAAUAUACCUGACACCUGUCAACCCAGUGCCUGCCAAGUUGAGUUGAGGCCUCAGGGUUUGGCAAAUUGUAGUUAUGGUUGAGGUAUUUUAUAGCUGCGACUUGAGUCCAUUAAUCGAAUAUUUAGCCUACUACAGAAAUGCUUCCUGUACUUUUGACUAAAGAAGGCUAUACUGCCAACAAAGCAGUAGAAAAUAGACAUUUAUCAAACAAUUUCCUAAGACACAAUGGAAAAUAUUCCUCGGUAGAAAUGUGGUUUGGUGUUCUGUUUGAUCUCUAUUCGUGAAAUGCACCUUUUAUCUAAACUCUGUACUUUUUUUAAAGCAAAAAAAUAAAAAAGACAAAGGUGGUGGUGUU